CAGCAAUUUGUGGGAAUGCCUUUUUAGUUUAAUAAAAAGAGUAUAUUAGGUUUAACUUUCUAUAUUAUUUUUAUUAAAUUAAGAAUUCAAAACAUUUGAAUGUAAUUCUAGAUAAAAUAUUGAUAAUGACAAAGUUUUAUCUAUAUGUCUUGACCAAAUCUUGUGCCAGCAGUCGCGGCAACACAAGGAAGACAAGUGUUAUUCAUCUUAAAUCGGUUUAAAGGGUACCUAGACGGUAAAUUAGGCCUUAAAUGGUACGUUUUUACUAGAGUUAUAUAUGCAUGAGGAUGAUAUGUGAGUAUUACCAGAGUAGAGAUGUAAUUUUUUGAUACUGUUAAGACUGGUAAAGGCAAAAGCAAACCUUUAUAUAUUAACUGACGUUGAGGGACGAAGGCUUGGGGAGCAAACAGGAUUAGAUACCCUAAUAGUCCAGGCAGAGAAUUAUGAAUGUCAUAGAAUAGAUAUAAUAUUUAUCCUAUAAAUGAAAGUGUAAGCAUUCCACCUCAAGAGUAAUGUGGCAACGCAGGAACUGAAAUCAUUAGACCGUUUCUGAUACCAGUAGUGAAGUAUGUCGUUCAAUUUGUUAACCCUCAAAAAACCUUACCACMAUUUGAAUAUAUUUUAUAGAUAUAUUUUUUUUUAUUUAUAUCUUUAUUUAUACAA
rnacentral:rRNA from 2 species